CAUGCGGAGGUUGGGUGGUGGUGAUAUGAACAUGCGGGAGGGUUGGGUAGGUGGGGGAUAUAACAGGCCUGGAGGUUGGGUAGGUGGUGUUGAUAUGAACAUGCCUGGAGGUUGGGUAGGUGGUGUUGAUAUGAACAUGCCUGGAGGUUGGGUAGGUGGUGAUAUGAACAGGCCUGGAGGUUGGGUAGGAGGUGAUAUGAACAUGCCUGGAGGUUGGGUAGAAGGUGAUAUGAACUCUGGAGGUUGGGUAGGUGGUGAUAUGAACAUGCCUGGAGGUUGGUAGGUGGUGUGAUAUGACAUGCCUGGAGGUGGGUAGGGUGUGUGAUAUGAACAUGCCUGGAGGUUGGGUAGGUGGUGUUGAUAUGAACAUGCCUGGAGGUGGGUAGGUGGUGAUAUGAACAUGACUGGAGGUUGGGUAGGAGUGAUAUGAACAUCUGUCUGGAGGUUGGGUAGGUGAUAUGAACAUGCCUGGAGGUUGGGUAGGUGGUGUUGAAUGAACUCCUGGAGGUUGGGUAGGUGGUGUUGAUAUGAACUGCCUGGAGGUUGGGUAGGUGGUGUUGAUAUGAACGGCCUGGAGGUUUGGGUAGGUGGUGGAUAUGAACAUGCCUGGGAGUUGGGUAGGAGUGAUAUACAUGCCUGGAGGUUGGGUAGGAGGUGAUAUGAACAUGUCUGGAGGUUGGGUAGGAGAGGAUAUGAACAUGUCUGGAGGUUGGGUAGGUGUGUAUAACAUGCCUGGAGGUUGGGUAGGUGUGUUGAUAUGAACAUGCCUGGAGGUUGGGUAGGUGGUUUGAUAUGACAUGCCUGGAGGUUGGGUAGUGGUGAUAUAACAGGCCUGGAGGUUGGGUAGGAUGUAUAGGAACAUGCCUGGAGGUUGGGUAGGAGGUGAUAUGAACAUGCCUGGAGGUUGGGUAGGAUGUGAGUGAACAUUCUGGAGGUUGCUUAGGGGUGAUAUGAACAUGCCUGGAGGUUGGGUAGGAG
rnacentral:lncRNA from 1 species